rnacentral:misc_RNA from 1 species
CAUCAGGUCGGUUUGCUUUUGGAAAGGAUCAGAUAGUUGAAGGAGUUUUGUUGACAACGCCAGAAGUUUUGUUUCAAGAACAAACACUCGGAAAGGAAGAAACAACUAAAGCAAUUCAAGAUGCACCAAAAGAUUUGAAAUAUAGAGAGGUGAAUACUUUAAACCCGACUCUCCAGGACGACGUCAGAAAUUUACCACCAGGUGACGCUGUGAAAAGCAACAGGAAAUCUCACUUAACGACAAAAAUGGAAGUCCUGGAGUCAGGUAACUCAAAAGAUGGCGUUCCUAAUAAUACAGUAUUGGACACACACACACCACAAAAUAUUUCUCGCUCUCGAGCACCAGAAGCAACUUCUGGGUCAUCUAGUGUCAACACAACCAAACCACCAAUAACGCCUAAAGAUAAAAGAAAAAGCAUCAAAUCCAAAGGACUUAUAGAUAAUGAUGAUGAUGAAGAAGAACCAAGCGCAACUUCUCCUAAGUCGAGCGAUUUCCAGGGGUUGCAGGCAUUUCAAGAAACGCUACAAAAAUUAAGGAAGAUGGGCCGAGAAUUUGUUACCCAAGCAUUAAAACGAACAUUACCAACAAUGGUCCGAUUAAACUCAGAAAUGAGACUUUCUACUAGUUGUUCUGGAAGCUUAUUUAAACUAGCCGUGGGUAUCCGGAAGCUCCAGGAAUGGGCCAUAAAAAUGCUCGACUCAACAGGGAAGAUCCCAAGUGGAAUACUUCACGGGUCCUUAGCAGAACUGGGAGAUUACGAGCAGUGUCAGAACAUCGUUGUUUACAACCGGAGAGACGACAAUAAGGAACGAUUUCGUGGUCGGUAUUGUUCAGUUCACGUGCAGCCUUACCUACCGCCUGGGGUUAAGUAUCAUGUGUACAGCACCAACAAAACGAUUCAUGACUUGGAAGAAAUGUAUUCUUACUUGUCCAGAGGAAGUUUUCGUUUAGGACUGUGUCUUCCAUCUUCCUGCUCUUUGAAAGACGUCCAGCAGAUGGCCAGCCAAGUGAGAAAAAGAAUUGAAUUAAACGUGACUGUGAACUGGUGUCAAGUAAAGGAUUCUACUUGGAGUUUAGAUAACAGUCAGCUUGCUGUCUGUCUGUUCAACGGUUUGAUGCUGGGUAUUGUACUACUGGCAACGAGUAUUGAGCUAAUUCGUCGAUACUUCCAAAAACGAAGACAUCUUAGGGUUAAGGACCGAGCAGAGACAGGUUUUGCCGUACAAGCAAUAGAAUGUUUUUCUGCGUAUGGAAACACGAAGUUACAACUUAACUCCAGAACAGAGACGUAUCACCUACGUGUGGUGGAUGGAAUCAGAGUCUUCACUAUCACCUGGAUUAUAUUAGGAGAAACAUUUAAGUCAAUGAGUUCGGAGAAGACAAAUGCUUUAAGGAAGAUUUUUGAUCUUCGUGAAGAUUUUGUCUUCCAAAUGGUCAUUCAGUUCCCUUUUGCUCUAGAUUCUUUGUUUUUCACUAGCGGAAUGCUGAUUACGUACCUUGCUUUAAGAAGAUUAAAAGACAAUAAUGGAGAAUUUAGCCUACUUCGUUACUAUGUUCAUCGGUACUGGAAGAUGACCCCUACUUUCCUCAUUAUUUCAGGAGGAAUCUGGUUAUUGGAGGAUCUUGGUAGUGGUCCGGUUUGGAAGGAAAGCCUUGAUCCUUUAAUCAAAAGCUGCAAAAAAAACUGGUGGACAAACGUUCUGUACAUCGGAAACUUUUACAAAGUUGAAGAUCGAUGCCUUCCACAUUGUGGUUUAAUAUCCUGUUUGAUGCAGUUUUUCCUCGUUUCCCCUGUGGUAUUCUGGUCUCUAUAUAGAAAACCAGUAAUCGGGAAAAUAUUGAUCGCCACAGGGAUACUUAUUUCUGUUGUCACUCUCGCCGUCAUAACACCAUUAUUCAACCAAAUGCCCGUUUUAUUGGCCUCUGUAACAGAUCACAGUGUUCAAAUGGAACAUUUGCGUCUAAUCAUCACAAUGCCUUACACCCACCUGGGAACGUACUGUGUUGGCAUGGCAACGGGCUACUUCAUUUAUGUUUAUAGGGAAAAGAAACUUCGCAUGCACCCGAUCGUGGCAUUGUGUGGAUGGAGCGCUGCCGUAGCAUGCAACUUGGUCAUCGUUUUUGGUCUACAUCAAUGGAACAGCGGCAGUAGUUUCCCGACAAAGACAACCGCUACAGUUUACGCUGCUCUGUGUCGCUUAGGAUGGUCUCUGGGUUUGGCCUGGCUGACAAUAGCUUGUGUGUAUGGAUAUGGAGGAAUCAUCAACAGCUUCCUCAGUUGGAAAGGCUUCACUCCCCUUAGUCGAUUGACGUACAUUGUAUACAUAAUUCAACCAGCGUGGAUUGGCAUCUUUCAGAGUCAUCUAAGAAGCCCCAUCUAUUACAGCAAUAUAUUUAUCACGUACAUUUUCAUCGCUUACAUCACAAUUUCGUACACCUUGGGUUUUCUGACGGCGCUUAUCUACCAGACGCCAUUUCUGAACCUGGAGCAACUGGUACUUAAAACAGUCAGCAACAAGAAAAAAAUCACUGUGGAUGAAGACGAAAUGGAAAACGAUAUUCACGCCUUCGAUACCAGACACAAAACAGCAAACCUGGACUCGAAUAACAAAAGUGAGACUAUGAAGGAAAGAUUUUCAGUAAAACUCUGAGAGGAACGAACAAUAGGUUUAAGGGUGAACUAUGUGAUUUUUGAAAAUAUUAUUUCUAAUAUCUCCAACUAACACGACUAAAAAAAAAAAAGGUUUACACAGGAGGUUUAUUGAAAAUAACACCAUGCGGGUAUAUACGUAAUUUCAGAAAACGUGUUAACACGUAAUUUUUAUUCUUUUCCCUAAGAAGACCGUGUUCCUAUUCCUUAAAGCAUUCCAUUUAUCCUGAACAUUUGAAAAUCUUUUACAGAGUUUUUAAGAUGUUUCUGAUCUAAUGGUAUCUCUGAAAAUAGAUUUAACCCAAAUUAUCGGAAGAAAAAGUUACAAAGUUUUCUUAAAUCAACUGUCGAGUUUGCGUGUUAAUCCCGUCAUCGGAAGUACUGAAAUACAACGAGAUUAGUAACUUAUUACUGCGCGUGCUCAGAAUACGGUCAUCAUUUUUGCUACAGCCAGUAAUUCGUCAAUACUUUUAACCCUCAAAUUACUGAAUUAUUUAUUUAUAUCGUUUGCUACCGAUAUUACAUCGUAUCGAGUAAUUUUGUUUAUCUUCUCGUUACAACACUCGGUGUAAAGAACUUGUAACAAUACCUAGAGGGCCCCAGCAGUAAUUAGUAUGAUUAGUUACACUCUUGAUAGAAUUUUUUGUAUAAAUGUUUUGUUUGUUUUUCUGACACGCCUGUUAUUAGGGACUUUCAAGCAAGUUGAACGUAAAUAUUUUAGGAAAAGAUCUUAAAAAACACCUUCAUAGGUAAUUCUAAUGAUGGCAGAAAACUUCUAUUAUUUCCGGGUGAUUUUUUAUGAACAUUUUGGUAUAAAAUCAAACGAGGUUCAUGUGUGGUCAGCGCUUUGUAUAACCUUUAACCCUUUCUAAUAGUGCAGUGAAAACAUUGGUCUUUAAUCAAGCAUGACAGAAAAAAUAAAAUUUCUAACGCUUUUCUCAAAAGUAUUCGACAUUUACCGAACAGUUUCUGUAGUUAAUUGUUGUUCAUAAAACGUUGAAUGUAAAGUUUCAUAUAUUUUGUGUACGUGUAUAUCCAGUCUAAAACGUUAAUAUGUUUUUAAUAAGAUGUGCUUUUUUAAUAGUAAGUUUUACAGAAUUGCGCAUAUAAUUUCAUUGUCAAAAACAACAACAAUGUAAAUAUGUUUUUUACCACAGAAGAUCUAAUUAUUGAUAUUAGUACAGAUAGAUUCGACAUUCUGACGCUGUGUAUGUUAUUGUUUUAAAUAGUUCCCGUCUGUGCCACUGGGGGCGUAAUGUGCUUGAAGAAUUAAAAUAUGAGUUGUGAACAAAUUGUUGCUUUUGUAGAUUUAAGAAAUAUACUUCAUGAAAAAUAAUCGUGCUCUUCGUCUGGCUCUCCCUACUUUGUGUUUUUUUGUGAUCGAACAUAAUUUGGAGAAGUAACCUAACUAACGUUUUUAACGUUCAUUAUUGGAUUACAAAAAAUAAUCACCGUCAGAGUGGCUCACGAAAGUCGUUUAAGUAAGAUAAAACUAUUGAAGAAGGUUUAUGGGUAUGAAAAUCGAGAUUCUUCGUAGUACUGCGUCCCUAUUGGCUGUCUACUGCUACUUUAGUGCCCUCUGCUGGAAAAAACCUUAGUAGGAUAACUUUGUCGCUGAACCCGUGUCACAGUUAACACUUUUUUUAUUCAUUUCAAGACAAAUCGUAGAAGAUCGCUUUUGUGUGUUACAUGAUUAUGGUUAUGGCGACAGCUUUUGAUUUUAAUCUUUUAAAAAAAAAGGUGAAAACAGUGUACCCAUGAUUUGGUUUGAUUAAUGCACUGUAGUCAUAUUUAGUACUGUAUAUACGUAUUUUAUUAUGUUAAUGUUCUUUUGGAUUUUAAAGAUCGUACAGCAUCCUGUAUAGUAGUUAGACCUAUUCUGAAGAAGUGAAAAUUGGGACGGCAGGACUCAAACCUGUGACUCUCUUUACCCGCCUAAGUAGUCGUCUCGAAUGUAGCACUCAUUUUCUCGACAAUAACUUUAUAAAACAGUUAAAUACAGCACACACAAACAAAUAUUGAGCUUUACAGACUGUCACUACUUAGUAGUCCUACCAAAUACUGCCACUAAUUACCAAUAAAAUAAUGAACAAUAAUGGAACAACAGACAAAUAUAUUGCGAACCUAAGAACGGUAUUAAAUGUAUAGCUGCGUGAUGGUUAAUAAAUAUAGGAAACUGUCCACAAGGUUUUACGUGAUUGACAGAAGGGUUGAUAAAUAUAGGAAACUGUCCACGAGGUUUUACGUGAUUGAUAGAAGGGUUAAUAAAUAAAGGAAGUUGGCCACGAGGUUUUACGUGAUUGACAGAAUGGUUAAUAAAUAAAGGAAAUUAUCCACGAGGUUUUACGUGAUUGAUAGAAGGGUUGAUAAAUAAAGAAAAUUGUCCACGAUGUUUUACGUGAUUGAUAGAAGGGUUGAUAAAUAAAGGAAAUUGUCCACGA